AAAAAAGAGUGUACAACUCCGAUUUCUUACGUCAACCAUGCUAAAUAAAAUUGGGGAAGAAAAAAUAGUGCAGAUUCUUCUCAAAGAGAUGGGGGAUUUUAACCUGCUCCAAAUCUAACUUUCAUCAUACAUGUUGACAAGGAUGAUAAGUUGAAGCAAUAAAUCAAGUCCCAAGAUGCAUCCCAUAAUCUGUUCAAAAAAACCUCUCGUAGCAUCUAAAAUCACCAAGCACAAAACACACGCCUACUAUACACAUUACCAAUGCAAGGUCCAAUCCUCACCAUGUCCACUAAAACCCAUCUCCCAUCCUAUCUCUUCCCAUACCACGCCGAUCAUCCCACCCUCGAUCCAUGUACAUGUCCUGACGAUAGUCUUUUGCUGGUGGGCCAAACCUGAUUGGGGAUCUGCUCCUCUCUCUCACAUCCUGCCCCCUUCGGCCUCGCUGAGGAAGAACUGGUGGUGGAAGUAGCGGUGGAGAGGGCAACCGCCUCUCAAACCCUUUCCUCUCAUUCAAAAAGUUAUCCCUUCCUCGGUCUCUCUGACCCCAGUCCACUGGCAUUGCCCUAUCAAAUUCGUUCCUCCCUCUGUAGUCAUCAUCAGGAUAAUCAGUCUGAACUCUCCGCAUGUCAUGAUCAGAAAACCUGGCUCCAUGUCUAGGAGGUGGAGGACCACCAGGCCCAAAAUCUCUUGGGCUAUCUCUGGCCCAGCCAUGAGGAGGAGACCUAUACCCAUUCAUGAUCCUGCCUGGCGAAAUAUCCAGUGGAGGACCAGAGAAGCGUCUAGGAGGUAGAGGGCCGGGAUAGCCCCUCCCAAGACUUCCCCCAGGUCCAUACCGAGGC
rnacentral:misc_RNA from 1 species